ensembl:rRNA nuclear encoded rRNA 5S 95
GUCUAUAGCCAUACUAUCCUGAACACACCUGAUUUCACUUUAUCUUGGAAGCUAAGCAGGGUUGGGCCUGGUUAGUACUUCAGUGGGAGACCCCUAUGAAUACUUGGUUCUGGGGAAG